rnacentral:piRNA from 1 species
UGUAAACAGAGUGAGUCCUGUGAGAC